UACGUAGGCAGCGAGCGUUGUUCGGAGUUACUGGGCGUAAAGGGUGUGUAGGCGGUUGUUUAAGUUUGGUGUGAAAUCUCCCGGCUCAACUGGGAGGGUGCGCCGAAUACUGAAUGACUUGGAGUACGGGAGAGGUGAGUGGAAUUCCUGGUGUAGCGGUGAAAUGCGUAGAUAUCAGGAGGAACACCGGUGGUGUAGACGGCUCACUGGACCGUAACUGACGCUGAGACACGAAAGCGUGGGUAGCAAACAGG
rnacentral:rRNA from 1 species